ACAAAUCUGCUGCGUGGUCCUGCCUCCAGAGGUCAAACUCUUCAGCGCGCCCCACGCAUAUUCACCCCGAGCUGGUGCCUCACGGCGCCGGCUUUGGUUGGGCAGGCCUGUCCUUUCGGGGACGGGACUGCUCCGGACAGUGCCCCUGUGCUUGCACCUGGGCCUGGCCACAUAGACGCUUGUAUGUUUGACAGAGUUACGGUUGUAAACGAAAAUGA
rnacentral:misc_RNA from 1 species